rnacentral:rRNA from 1 species
CGUAGGUGGCAAGCGUUGUCCGGAUUUAUUGGGCGUAAAGCGAGUGCAGGCGGCUCGAUAAGUCUGAUGUGAAACGGCCUUCGGCGUCAACCGGAGAAUUGCAUCAGAAACUGUCGAGCUUGAGGUACAGAAGAGGAGAGUGGAACUCCAUGUGUAGCGGUGAAAUGCGUAGAUAUAUGGAACGAACACCGGUAGGCGAAGGCGGCUCUCUGGUCUAGUUACUGACGCUGAGGCUCGAAAGCAUGGGUAGCGAACAGGAUU